ACUCCUGCGGGAGGCAGCAGUGGGGAAUUUUGGACAAUGGGCGAAAGCCUGAUCCAGCAAUGCCGCGUGAGUGAAGAAGGCCUUCGGGUUGUAAAGCUCUUUUGUCAGGGAAGAAACGGUGAAAGCUAAUAUCUUUUGCUAAUGACGGUACCUGAAGAAUAAGCACCGGCUAACUACGUGCCAGCAGCCGCGGUAAUACGUAGGGUGCAAGCGUUAAUCGGAAUUACUGGGCGUAAAGCGUGCGCAGGCGGUUUUGUAAGUCUGAUGUGAAAUCCCCGGGCUCAACCUGGGAAUUGCAUUGGAGACUGCAAGGCUAGAAUCUGGCAGAGGGGGGUAGAAUUCCACGUGUAGCAGUGAAAUGCGUAGAUAUGUUGAGGAACACCGAUGGCGAAGGCAGCCCCCUGGGUCAAGAUUGACGCUCAUGCACGAAAGCGUGGGGAGCAAACAGGAUUAGAUACCCGAGUAGUCCC
rnacentral:rRNA from 1 species